GAUGAAGAACGUAGCGAAAUGCGAUAAGUAAUGUGAAUUGCAGAAUUCAGUGAUUCAUCGAAUCUUUGAACGCACAUUGCGCCCAUUAGCAUUCUAGUGGGCAUGCCUGUUCGAGCGUCAUUUCAACCCUUAAGCCCUGUUGCUUAGCGUUGGGAGCCUACAGUACUGUAGCUCCCCAAAGUUAGUGGCGGAGUCGGUUUCACACUCUAGACGUAGUAAAUUUUUCUCGUCUGUAGUUGAGCCGGUCCCCUGCCGUAAAACACCCAAUUUAUCAAGGUUGACCUCGGAUCAGGUAGGAAUACCCGCUGAACUUAAGCAUAUCAAUAAGCGGAGGA
rnacentral:misc_RNA from 1 species